AAAGAAUAAAUUUUAAUUUAUUAAAACUCCCAGCCAUCAAACACGUCUCCUUCAUCAAUUCUAAACAGCAUACUCUUCCCCUCUAUACUUAUCAAAUCGUCACACUAUCUGUCUCUCAAAAACUCACGCUUUCUCUCUCUGUCAUCUUCUACAAUUCAUAAAACAGAACAAUCCCAAUUCCCAUCUCUUCUUCCUCUCUUUCCUAUCACACUCCGAAACACGAACUCGGCUCCCACCGUAGCUCCCUCUCUAAAUCUCACUUCACAGAAGCACAAAAAUCCUACUCCAGUUACAGCUCUCUCCCUCGCUCGCUGCUGUACCAGCAGUCGCUGUCAUCGCUGCCGCUGUCUCACUCCCAUCGGGAGUCCGCCGUCGAGCAGCCGUUGUCCGUCGACGCCACUGCCCAGCCCGUUCACGUCAGUGGGCAGACAUAAGUAAUUCCAAGAAUUUAAGGUUGAAGAGAGAAAACAAAAGGCAGCUUCUAAAGUAUUAAAGGUCGAAACCUUGGGAGCAAAGUGUCAUUCAGUGGGUUGCAGAAAUUUAAAAAAAUGUUCCAGAUUCCCGUGAACUAACGUGUAACGUGUAUGUAUGGAAGUAUGUCAUGGAAGUAUGUCAUGGGAGGAAUAGAAUUUGUACAGGCAGAAGGUAUUAAAGAUCACAACUUUCUCUGUUCUUCUUCACACUGUGAAAUUGCGAGUUUGUAUUAUGGAAUCAAUAAGUGUGGAGAUUCUAGUAUUCAAUGGAAAGUGAGAUUACCUUGACGGAAGAGACACAAAAACUGCACUAAGAUUGUGAAAUGGCGUUGAUAAAAGAUGCAGUUGUGGGGAGAGAUAUAUAAUGUAGAGAUUUGAUUUUGUUUGUUGGAGAGAUUUUAGGGAGUGGGGAUAUUGAUAAAAACGUGUAGAAAGGGGUUUAGGAAAAUGGAUUUAUGUUGAUUGA